AUUUUGCACAAUGGGCGCAAGCCUGAUGCAGCAACGCCGCGUGAGUGAAGAAGGCCUUUGGGUUGUAAAGCUCUUUCGGCUGGGAAGAUGGGUUCCUUUGCGAAUAGCACUGGAAUUUGACGGUACCAGAAGAAGAAGCACCUGCUAACUACGUGCCAGCAGCAGCGGUAAUACGUAGGGUGCUAGCGUUGUUCGGAAUUAUUGGGCGUAAAGCGCGCGUAGGCGGGUUUGUAAGUCGAUUGUGAAAGCCCUGGGCUUAACCUGGGAAUGGCAGUCGAAACUGCAAAUCUUGAAUACCUAAGAGGAUGGCGGAAUUCCCGGUGUAGUAGUGAAAUACGUAGAUAUCGGGAGGAACACCUGAGGCGAAGGCGGCUAUCUGGUGGUGUAUUGACGCUGAGGCGCGAAAGCGUGGGGAGCAAACAGG
rnacentral:rRNA from 1 species